rfam:TPA: Bos taurus chromosome 23, whole genome shotgun sequence.
UCCCUGAUGGCUCAAAUGGUAAAGAAUCUGCCUGCAAUGCAGAAGACCCAGAUUUGAUCCCUGGGUUGGGAA